AUUGAACGCUGGCGGCAUGCUUUACACAUGCAAGUCGAACGGUAACAGGCCGCCAGGUGCUGACGAGUGGCGAACGGGUGAGUAAUGCAUCGGAACGUGCCCCGUCGUGGGGGAUAACUACUCGAAAGAGUAGCUAAUACCGCAUACGAUCUAUGGAUGAAAGCGGGGGACCGUAAGGCUUCGCGCGAUUGGAGCGGCCGAUGUCAGAUUAGGUAGUUGGUAGGGUAAAGGCUCACCAAGCCAACGAUCUGUAGCUGGUCUGAGAGGACAACCAGCCACACUGGGACUGAGACACGGCCCAGACUCCUACGGGAGGCAGCAGUGGGGAAUUUUGGACAAUGGGCGCAAGCCUGAUCCAGCAAUGCCGCGUGCAGGAAGAAGGCCUUCGGGUUGUAAACUGCUUUUGUACGGAACGAAACGGCUCUGGUUAAUACCCGGGGCUAAUGACGGUACCGUAAGAAUAAGCACCGGCUAACUACGUG
rnacentral:rRNA from 1 species